GUGAAUUGCAGAAUCCCGUGAACCAUCGAGUUUUUGAACGCAAGUUGCGCCCGAAGCCAUUCGGCUGAGGGCACGUCUGCCUGGGCGUCACGC
rnacentral:rRNA from 2 species